UACGGGGGGAGCAAGCGUUGUUCGGAUUUACUGGGCGUAAAGGGCGCGUAGGCGGCGCAACAAGUCACUUGUGAAAUCUCCGGGCUUAACCCGGAGCGGUCAAGUGAUACUGUCGUGCUAGAGUGCGGAAGGGGCUACUGGAAUUCUCGGUGUAGCGGUGAAAGUGCGUAGAUAUCGAGAGGACACCGUGCGGCGAAGGCGGGUAGCUGGGCCGACACUGACGCUGAUGCGCGAAAGCCAGGGGAGC
rnacentral:rRNA from 1 species